CGACCCCAGCUCAGGCGAGAACACCCGCUGAGUUUAAGCAUAUAAUUAAGCGGAGGAAAAGAAACUUACAAGGAUUCCCUUAGUAACAGCGAGCGAAUCGGGAAGAGACCAGCAUGAAAAUCGGGUGGCAGCGUCCCCUAAAUUGUAGUCUGUAGAAGCGUCCUUAGCGGCAGACUGGGCCCAAGUCCCCUGGAAGGGGGCGCCUGAGAGGGUGAAAGCCCCAUCGGGCCUGGACCCUGUCACACCACGAGGCAUUGUCAGCGAGUCGGGUUGUUUGGGAAUGCAGCCCUAAUCGGGUGGUAAAUUCCAUCCAAGGAUAAAUACGGGCGAGAGACCGAUAGCGAACAAGUAACACGAGGGAAAGAUGAAAAGGACUUUGAAGGAUGGAGGC
rfam:Picea glauca, whole genome shotgun sequence.